rnacentral:rRNA from 1 species
GACGAGGGGUCCUAGCGUUGUUCGGAAUCACUGGGCGUAAAGGGUUUGUAGGCGGCCUUAUAAGUCGGAUGUGAAAUCCCACGGCUCAACCGUGGAAGUGCAUUCGAAACUGCAAGGCUUGAAUAUGGAAGAGGGCAGUAGAAUUCCUGGUGUAGUGGUGAAAUACGUAGAUAUCAGGAGGAAUACCGGUGGCGAAGGCGGCUGCCUGGUCCAAUAUUGACGCUGAGAAACGAAAGUGCGGGGAUCAAACAGG